CCUACGGUGAGCAGCAGUGGGGAAUAUUGCACAAUGGGGGAAACCCUGAUGCAGCAACGCCGCGUGAGUGAAGGAGUAUUUCGGUAUGUAAAGCUCUAUCAGUAGGGAAGAAGAAAGACGGUACCUGACUAAGAAGCCUCGGCUAACUACGUACCAGCAGCCGCGGUAAUACGUAGGGGGCAAGCGUUAUCCGGAUUUACUGGGUGUAACGGGCGCGUAGACGGCUGUGCAAGUCUGAAGUGAAAUCCCGUGGCUCAACCGCGGAACUGCUUUGGAAACUGGAUGGUUUGAGUGCGGGAGAGGCAGGCGGAAUUCCUAGUGUAGCGGUGAAAUGCGUAGAUAUUAGGAGGAACACCAGUGGCGAAGGCGGCCUGCUGGACAGAAACUGACGUUGAGGCUCGAAAGCGUGGGGAGCAAACAGGAUUAGAUACCCUUGUAGUC
rnacentral:rRNA from 1 species